rnacentral:lncRNA from 1 species
ACCACCUCUACCCUGCUACCCCUCCUUAAGCCCCUACGCAGCUGAAAGCUGGAAGCUGAAACGUUUUCAACUUGAGCAGACAGGUUGAAGAUGCUGCCAAACCAUGUGGAAAUACAUUGGUAUAGACUGGAACUUUGUCUUAUCUUCUUAGAACUUGCCAGCCAAGUAGUGCGAGGGAGCACAGGAUAGCAGACGGCAUGGUGUGCGGGUGGAAUCCGGCAGCCUGGCGGAAGAGCAGAUGGAGGCACCCAGAUGCAGCCCUCCCUGGCUGUCAGGGCCAGGGGCAGAAGGCCCUUGGCUCGCCAGGAGCUGCUGUUCCACAUCCUCAUAUCGACUUACUAUGAACUCUCCGGAAUUAAAAUGUUUGUCUGAGGCCCUUGUAAUUUUCUAUUGUGUGGAAUGUAAUGUAUUUAAUAUAUGGCUUGAAUUUCAAAACUCAAAGGCCUUAAACCUCUUUUUUGGCCUCACCUCACUCUCUUCUCUUUAGUCUUUUUGAAGCUAAGAAUUAUAAUUCCACUCCAAAUAUCUCACCUACCGUGUUUGUUGUAGCCCACCUUUCAUGCACUUCAAAAUCAUUAAACAAAGUAAGACUCUGGGUCUCUCAUUGAUCUGUCUUGAAUUUCUCCGGUAACAUUAAUGAUAUAAGGAGAUCUACCAGUUAAGCUAAUUAGUUAUGUUUUUAUGCUGUAUAGGCCAUGAGUGUAACCUUGGAAUCCACUGCCGAGAGCCCUGGCCCCAAAGUAUUUCCUUGGAAACUUCAACUUUUGAAUGCCUCUAAAAAAAAAUCCAAUAAAACCCCUAUUCAAAUCUAUGUCACUGCUUCUUGAAAUGUGGUGACUGUUGGUUUGAUUAAAGGCAUUUUAUCCAUCUUUUAUUCACUUAUUAGCAAAUGGUCUUCAUGGUGAAUCCAAAUACAUGAUGGAGAGGAAGGAAUUUUGAAGGAUACUAGUAUGCCCAUUUAGACAAUUUAUACUAGAUGCGCUUCAAGAAAGAAGGAGAACACUCCAUGUCAUAGAGAAUUGGGAAUAAAAUUGGAUAGUUAGGCCUGGUUGAAUUAGGUAUACCCAUACACUUUGGCAAAAUAAUUUGCUCCCAAGACUUUGCUCCUGAUAAGAAAAG